AAUAAUCAAUUUCAAGGUUUCUUUUCUCGUGAGAAUCAACAAACAUAGCUUUACGUACGGUAACCAAAAAUAAUAUUUCACACACAAUAGCUUUGCAUAAAAAUAACUUCAACGCAAAAUUCAUAACACGAAGACAACAACAUGACCAUUUGCGAGGAAUAAUUUUCAGGCCAACACCUUAGUGCAAACACCAAUAUUAACAAAAUACAUCAACUACACUAAUCACUUAUUCAGCUACCCACAAAUCAUGCUAGCCCCUUCCCUUUCAUAUCCACUUCUGCACUUUCGUUGCCAUUCCUUAUUGUCACAUUUAAAGAAAUCUCAAUGUUUCGUUCCUUAGACACCACGUGACAAAGAGACUGGAACAUGCGAGAGAACUGCUGAACAUCUUCAAGUGCUGCAUGAUUAUUCGAGUUCGCGGUAACAUUACUUGACCCACUGCUUGAUUCUCCCUCAUCGACCCAUGCCCAAUAUUUACAAUUAGCACUGCAGCACUCGAACAAUCUUCCCUUGUUCUUUGUCUCCCUCUCGACCUCAAAGCACUUCACAAUUCCACAUUUACACAAGGGGCAUCGCCUUUUGUUUGGGCAAUCCGCAAACAAGUGACCUUUCCCUCUACAGCUAUGACAAAGUCUGGAGUUCUAUCCCGGCAUACUACACACAAACGACACACAGAUCACACUACAUUAAACAACAUUUUUAACAAAAUCCCCUUGCUCAGUGGAAUCAAGAUAUUCACAAAAAUCGAAUUUCAAACCAAACAUGAAUGUCAAGAACCAUAUCAAUAAUAACAUUAACAAACUUACACAUUCAACCCACUCUUUACAUGCCACCAGAAGAAAACAAAAGGGCUUCAACAUUAUACACUAUGUCUGAGAUUAUGCCUAUCAAAUUGACGGACGAGUCUAAAUUCUAUUAUUCAUGUGGUCACACAUCAAAGGCUUUUUCACAAUAUUGAACUCUAUUAUGCGUUACCUUACUGCUGGUAGGUAGAAACAUUUCUCUUCAGAUUUGUGAGAUUUUCACUUAUAAAUUAUAUUUAAAAAUUACACAAACCCUUCAAAUAAAUAUUUCUAACAGUUUACAAGUAGAUUUUAUUCCUAUUGAUUAUUAUUCACACAAAUUACGUACAUUCACCAUCUCCAAACAAUGGAAUGACUCGAGAUUGAAAGGCAUACUAAUGAAGUUCGAAACUUUGCAGUCCAGACUGCCAUAUGUUCAAAACUAGCCCAGAUUAUCAUAUAUUCGAACCUUGUAUGUAUUUGAAAUGGAGUUCGAAACUAUGCAGCCCAGUACGUCGGGUUCUUAGAAGAAGUAGGGCUGACAGUGAGAUUUUUCCUUUUCUUAAAACAUAAAUUACUUCCCCACAGUAAAAAGAAAUGCCCAAAUAUUCUACUUACAUAAUAUUGCUCAAGAUAUCGCCGGAGAAGAAGGCCUCAGGGACGGGCGAUUUUGCUCUAAUCUUGCGGCUAAAUAUUUUUUCCUCACAACCGUGCGCUUAACUUCGGGUGGAAAACAAAAUCAUGGAGAUGACCACAAUAUUUAUCAUCGUCUUCUCAAUAUGGUGGAGCGCAGCUGCAGAUCUCCUCGCAUCAGUUCGUUCAGUAGAGAGGGUUUUCUGCCUUGGGGCAACUGAGAAACUGAAGAAAUGUGAGCGUAAGCGGGUUUCUUCACUUUGGGCCGGUUCAAGACAUGUUACCCAUUAACCCAUUAAUAC
rnacentral:lncRNA from 1 species